CCUACGGGUGGCAGCAGUGGGGAAUUUUGCGCAAUGGGGGCAACCCUGACGCAGCAACGCCGCGUGCGGGACGACGGCCUUCGGGUUGUAAACCGCUUUCAGCAGGGAAGAAAUUCGACGGUACCUGCAGAAGAAGCUCCGGCUAACUACGUGCCAGCAGCCGCGGUAAUACGUAGGGAGCGAGCGUUAUCCGGAUUCAUUGGGCGUAAAGAGCGCGUAGGCGGCCUCUCAAGCGGGAUCUCUAAUCCGAGGGCUCAACCCCCGGCCGGAUCCCGAACUGGGAGGCUCGAGUUCGGUAGAGGCAGGCGGAAUUCCCGGUGUAGCGGUGGAAUGCGCAGAUAUCGGGAAGAACACCGAUGGCGAAGGCAGCCUGCUGGGCCGCAACUGACGCUGAGGCGCGAAAGCUAGGGGAGCGAACAGGAUUAGAUACCCCAGUAGUC
rnacentral:rRNA from 1 species